GAUGAACGCUGGCGGCGUGCAUAACACAUGCAAGUCGAACGAGGGCUUCUUGUAGCAAUACGGGAAGAUUCCUAGUGGCGAAUGGGUGAGUAACACGUGGGUGACCUGCCUCGAAGUGGGGGAUAACAGUUCGAAAGGACUGCUAAUACCGCGUACGAUCAUCGGGAUUAGAUGCCCGAUGAUGAAAGUCGCAAGACGCUUCGAGAGGGGCCUGCGGCCCAUCAGGUAGUUGGUAGGGUAACGGCCUACCAAGCCGAUGACGGGUAGGGGACCUGAGAGGGUGGUCCCCCACACUGGCACUGAAACACGGGCCAGACACCUACGGGUGGCAGCAGUGGGGAAUAUUGCACAAUGGGCGAAAGCCUGAUGCAGCAACGCCGCGUGCGCGAUGAAGGCCUUCGGGUCGUAAAGCGCUUUUCGGGAGGAUGAGGAAGGACAGUACUCCCGGAAUAAGUCACGGCUAACUACGUG
rnacentral:rRNA from 1 species